rnacentral:rRNA from 1 species
AUUGAACGCUGGCGGCAGGCCUAACACAUGCAAGUCGAACGGUAACAGGAAGAAGCUUGCUUCUUUGCUGACGAGUGGCGGACGGGUGAGUAAUGUCUGGGAAACUGCCUGAUGGAGGGGGAUAACUACUGGAAACGGUAGCUAAUACCGCAUAACGUCGCAAGACCAAAGAGGGGGACCUUCGGGCCUCUUGCCAUCGGAUGUGCCCAGAUGGGAUUAGCUAGUAGGUGGGGUAACGGCUCACCUAGGCGACGAUCCCUAGCUGGUCUGAGAGGAUGACCAGCCACACUGGAACUGAGACACGGUCCAGACUCCUACGGGAGGCAGCAGUGGGGAAUAUUGCAUAAUGGGCGCAAGCCUGAUGCAGCCAUGCCGCGUGUAUGAAGAAGGCCUUCGGGUUGUAAAGUACUUUCAGCGGGGAGGAAGGGAGUAAAGUUAAUACCUUUGCUCAUUGACGUUACCCGCAGAAGAAGCACCGGCUAACUCCGUG